rnacentral:lncRNA from 1 species
UAUAUAAUGCAUAUUUGAAGUUCUUUUUUUUGGAAUAACUUUUUAAAGUUAGCAUGUAAAAGCCUCACACAAAACCUGUGAUUAGUAUUUAGCAUCAUGCAGUUGAAUGUCUAACCUCUAAUAAGAGUAGAUAAAAGUUAGUAGCUAUACUAAAAUAUUAGGAGUCCUAAGAAGAGUAGAAAUGUUAGUACCUUCUGUCUAUCCGAGAUGAAUGUCCAACCUC